rnacentral:snRNA from 3 species
GUGCUCACUUUGGCAGCACAUAUACUAAAAUUGGAACGAUACAGAGAAUAUUAUUAUGGUCCCUGCACAAGGA